CUUGGCGGUGUUUUAGACUUUUUAGGGGAACCUGUCUCAUAAUCGAUAAUCCACGAUAUACCUGACUUUUAUUUGCCUUCAGUUUGUAUACCGUCGUCGUCAGGUAACUUUUUAGAAAAAAGAAGUUAGCAAUAAAGCAUUAUAAUCUUUUACGUCAGAUCAAGGUGCAGCUAAUAUAAAAGUGAGGAUGGGUUACAAUUAUUAUAAUUAUAAAUACGAAAAUAAUAACUUGAAAAGUAAUAACUAUU
rnacentral:rRNA from 1 species